CUAGCAAUAGAAAAGAUGGCGACCGGCGCACGGGUGAGUAACACGUAUCCAACCUGUCUCAUACUCGGGGAUAGCCUUUCGAAAGAAAGAUUAAUACCCGAUAGCAUAGUCCCACCGCAUGAUGGGACUAUUAAAGAAUUUCGGUAUGAGAUGGGGAUGCGUUCCAUUAGAUAGUUGGUGGGGUAACGGCCCACCAAGUCUUCGAUGGAUAGGGGUUCUGAGAGGAAGGUCCCCCACAUUGGAACUGAGACACGGUCCAAACUCCUACGGGAGGCAGCAGUGAGGAAUAUUGGUCAAUGGACGGGAGUCUGAACCAGCCAAGUAGCGUGAAGGAUGAAGGCUCUAUGGGUCGUAAACUUCUUUUAUAUGGGAAUAAAGUUGAGUAUGUAUACUUUUUUGUAUGUACCAUAUGAAUAAGGAUCGGCUAACUCCGUGCCAGCAGCCGCGGUAAUACGGAGGAUCCGAGCGUUGUCCGGAUCUAUUGGGUUUAAAGGGAGCGUAGGUGGAUUGUUAAGUCAGUUGUGAAAGUUUGCGGCUCAACCGUAAAAUUGCAGUUGAAACUGGCAGUCUUGAGUACAGUAGAGGUGGGCGGAAUUCGUGGUGUAGCGGUGAAAUGCUUAGAUAUCACGAAGAACUCCGAUUGCGAAGGCAGCUCACUAGACUGCAACUGACACUGAGGCUCGAAAGUGUGGGUAUCAAACAGGAUUAGAUACCCUGGUAGUCCACACAGUAAACGAUGAAUACUCGCUGUUUGCGAUAUACUGCAAGCGGCCAAGCGAAA
rnacentral:rRNA from 1 species